UAUAAAACCAGCGGAAAUAUAAAUAUAUUAAUUUAUAUAGUUUUUACAAUCCUUUUCUAAGUAAAUCCAAAUAUUUUUGUCAGUUCUUUAUAGAAAUUCAAGUCAAAUAAAAAUUUAUAACCCGCCUAUGAACUGUUUCACAAUACCUUGUUAUAUUCUUAGAAGAAAUGCGUGUUAGAGGUAAUUUUCCAAGCGUUCUUCUUGUAUUGGUAUAACUGCGUAUUUGUCAUAAUCAUAUUCUAGAAUUAUGACAGAACCAGAAAGCAAUCAUUGGCCAAUUCAAAUGUCAAGUAAAAAUCGUGAGUCGUGAUUGGCUGUGACGAACGAAAAACCGAAGUUUAAUUCGACAUCGAUAGAAAGAUUUAGAAUGUAUUGCAAAGAACGCGGAGUCUGAAAAUAGUUUUUGACGGAUAAACAUGUCAAAAAGUUAGAUUCUAACCGGCAUAUAUUAGUUCCACAAAAGAAUUUCCAAGUUAAAUUUGGGAUAUAUUAAAGUUCUUUUGUUGAGGAUAAUUAAUGGGUUGAUCAUUUAAUAGUGUAGCAGUUCUGUUGUUUAGUGAAAUUUUGGUUUAUACGCUCUUGUAAACUUAUGGUAUGGCGUAUUUAAUCCUUUAUGAAGCCGGUGAGCUGUUAUUACCUUUAUAGCUGGUUAUAAUAAUAUUGGUUAUGGUUACAUGGUAAUGGAUUAAACCUAAGUUUCCUGGAUUAGAAAACUAGAGGUAAAUUAGCAUUUUCCUGUUUGUUAUGGUAUAAUACCUACAUAAUAUCACAAUAGCAGUGGAAUUUUCCAGUCAUCCGUCGAGUGACGUAUGAGUGAUCUGUCAAAACUUUCCGAUGGUGAAGUAAUGUUGUGACAGAUGAAUAUUUUCAAAGUUUAAGGUAUAGUGACUAUUUUAAUUAAAAAUUUAGAUUCAAAGAUUAAAGUAAUUUUUUUUUGAAUUUAAAAAUAAAAAUAUAACGAGUAAACUUUUGAUUGGAUCAGAAAGAUAUUUGCUUCCAUCAUUAUAAAAAGAUUGUUAAAUCAAAAUUGUGAAUUAACCAUAUAAAAAUUAAUUGAGAUAAAUAUUUUUGGAAUGAUAUUUGACAAGUGACGUAACUGACAGUUGUUAUUUUCAAGUUUCAGUAAAAAUAAACAUUUUUCCUUUUUAAUAAUAUAAAUGCAAUAUUUCAAAUGUGUCAGAUAUCAAGUCAAUAAACAAUAAAUUUGCUUAUUUUUUGGUGCACCAUAUCUAUUUUAUAGAAAGUAGAUAUAUUUUAGUCACAGUAUUUUAGAGUAUACAUAUCAAGAAAAUAUUGGAUUGUAUAAAAGAAACUCCUGGUAAGGCGCCCUCAAACAAAA
rnacentral:lncRNA from 1 species